ensembl:lncRNA
AUGUCUCAAGACAAGAACACAGAGAAGAAUCAGAACACACAGUGCUUGUCUGUUAUUCACAUUGAUACAUAUGGUGUCAGAAAUGGGGACUGGAAAGGAGCACUCCUGCAAGGUAUUUGUGAUUUUUGGAACCCGUGUGCAGUAGUCACUGGGGUUGAGUUCUUCCCUUCUAUGGCCUGCCUUUUCUGCCCUGGUGAGUCUUCUCUCUCAUGGCACCUCUCUCUUUGUGGUAGAAGACUUUCAACAUUGUUUGGGGUCUGAUUUAGAUAAGGAUACCUUAAUAAAAUGAUAAAAGACUUUUUGUCUUAUUUGGUAAGUUUUUUUUUUUUGUUUUUUUUGUUUGUUUGUUUGUUUGUUUGCUUGUUUUUGCUUUUGUUUGUCCUGGUAUAAAGAUAUAUGUCUUUCUGGAUUAAGUAUUCUGAUUUCUUCAGAAUUUACAUUUUGUCUGUGAGGCAUGUCUUUUCUGAUAAAUUACUUUUGGUUGGUCUGCAUGCCUAGUUGAAUAUUUUGUUUGAUCUGCAUGCCUGAUUUAAAAUUUCAGUGAAUACUCAUCUUAGUAUCUUUGACUUUGUUUGACCCUUUCCCCUUGCUUGUUUCUGAAAAUCUUUCCAGAGCAAAAAUAAACAUUCUAAGUGGCGGUUGCAAGAUGGCUAACUAAAAGCCACUGGGGUUUGCCACCAUGUAAAAUAUCAGUCUAAACUCCUGACAUGUCUCUAUAGAAUUUAUAAAAUUUUCUUUGUUUCUGAGAGAUUGAUAAAAAUCAUAUUGGGAUUCCCAAACAUUAAGGCAUACCAAGAUUUCUAGGACUCUAGCUGUCUACAUAGUAUGGGCCAUUCUUCCGCGUAUUUUUAAACUGAUGGGUAAAAUUACAUCAUGGAAAAUUCAGAGCUAAAACGAUCAUUAUUCCAAAAACCCAUAACUCUAAGUAAACAUGUAUAGGCUUCUAUGUUCUCUGCUAUAUACAUUUUUUUUCUGCCUACUUUGAAUCUACUGACUUUUCCACUGACAUUCAGCUAGAACUCAUUGCUUAUGGCAUUCCAGUCAAAAUGUAAAAAAAAAAAAGAAGAAAAAAAAAAAGAAAAAAGUUUUUAUGAGAUUUCAAAAUAAUGGCUUUAUAAAUUGCAAUAGCUCUAUGGUUCAAAAAUUAGUAAUCUAAAAGGUAAAGAAUCAAAUAAAUGUUUAUAGAAAUUAGGCAUACAGAUCAAACAGGUCAAAAUCCUGACCUCAGAGCAAUAAUAUAUCUCUGACAUAAAAAUUUUGUAUUUUCUACCAUGCAGAGGCCAAAAAGAAAAAGCCCGUCUGCCCCUAGUCUUCCAAGAAUAUGGUAAAAUUAUUCUCUGCCUGAAUUUGGUAGUCUAGCAAACCAAGGUAACAAACAUAAAAUACAUUCAUUACUAGUUCAAGGCUACUAGGCAAUGUUGUUUUUCUUAUACAAUUCAGGAAAAAAAAUCAAAAUAAAAUAAAAUAAAAAACUAGUUAAAAUGUAAACAUUGAAAGAGGAAAGAAGGUGAAAGAGUAUUUUUUUGUUUUUGCUUUUUUUUUUUUUUUUAAAUUAAACUGUCAUUUUACCCAAAAUUUUGGCCCAUAGCCAUAAUUAAACUACCUAUCAGGGCAUGUACAGUUUAGUCUUGUGAACAGGUCCUGAUUGUAACAAAAACAUUAUUUUGGUUCAACUGUCUUUCAUAAACCAGUGUGAUUUUAUUACUACUUCAUGACUAAAAUUCUAGAAUGAAAGCUGUAAGGUCUUUAUUUGUGUAUGUACACAUGUGUUUAGGUAUAGUUAUGCAUAUAUACAUGUAAUAUAUCUUGUGUCUACAAAAUAAAUUCUGGCAUAGUCAGCCAGAAAUCCCUUAAGGAAUUCUAUUCCUAUUGGCUUAGAUAAAUGGACUGCCAUCUAAAAUAUAAAAUAGUAAUUAACUGAAAUGAUUUCCAGGUAAUGUGACGUAAGUAAAUUUUUAGUAAAGAAGCUGGCUUUAAAAUCAUUAGCAAAUUAAAAAAAGAAAUAUCUUCAAAAUUAUCAGUAUUUUUGACAGUUUCAUACUUGUCUCAGAUAGAUAUUUUAAGGUGUCAGGAUUUGACACAAAAGUUAAAAAACUUUUAUAAAACCCAGCCUAAAAUGGAAUGACCUUUGUUCGUGUAAUGUUUGAUAAGACUAAGUUAAUAUUGAUGGUUUAAUGAAAGUGACUGUAUCUUCUGAGUUAACAAUAAAAUAUCUAUAUAUUUGAGGUUUUUACUUAGGUAAACACCUGGUAUUCAUAGGUUAUGAUGACUAUUUUUGCCUAAUAUCUGUUUUAAUAAGUAAUCUAGGUAAACUGUUUUAAAAAAGUUAAUAAAGUGGGUGAUACAGUUUGGCUCUGUGUCCGUAGCCAAACCUUAUCUUGAAUUGCAUUCCCCACGUGUUGAGGGAGGGACUUGGUGAGAGGUGACCGGAUCAUGGGGGCAGUUUCCCAUGCUGUUAUGGCAAUAGUGAGUAAGUUCCCAUAAGAGCUGAUGGUUUUAAAGCAUGGCGCUUGCUUGCUCUUUCUCUCUCCUGCUGCCAUGUAAGGUGUGCCUUGCUUCCCCUUUGCCUUCCACCAUGAUUUUAAGUUUCAUGAGGCCUCCCCAGCCAUGUAUAAUUGUGAGUCAAUUAAACCUUUUUUCACUAUAAAUUACCCAGUCUCAGAUAGUAUUUUUAUAGCAGUGUGAAAACAGACUAAUACAUUAGGUAAAUGUAGAUGGGAUAGACUUCUAUAAAUAAACUUAUGUAAUUUAAAAUCUUAAAGUUAUGUUAAAUUAUAGAUACUCAUUAAAGAUGAGUCAUUUUAAAUAAGAUAAAAAAUAAACAAAUUGCUGAACAUAAAUAUAAAUUUGUUCUUGGCUUCUUAAAU